UACAGAGGUCUCGAGCGUUGUUCGGAUUCAUUGGGCGUAAAGGGUGCGUAGGUGGCUCUGUAAGUCGGGUGUGAAAUCCUGGGGCUUAACCCCGGAACUGCAUUCGAUACUGCAGUGCUUGAGGACUGGAGAGGAGACUGGAAUUCAUGGUGUAGCAGUGAAAUGCGUAGAGAUCAUGAGGAAGACCAGUGGCGAAGGCGGGUCUCUGGACAGUUCCUGACACUGAGGCACGAAGGCCAGGGGAGCAAACGGG
rnacentral:rRNA from 1 species